rnacentral:rRNA from 1 species
UCGAGAGUUUGAUCCUGGCUCAGAUUGAACGCUGGCGGAAUGCUUUACACAUGCAAGUCGAACGGUAGAGGGGGCAACCCCUUGAGAGUGGCGAACGGGUGAGUAAUAUAUCGGAACGUGCCCAGUCGUGGGGGAUAACGUAGCGAAAGUUACGCUAAUACCGCAUACGAUCUAAGGAUGAAAGCGGGGAUCGCAAGACCUCGCGCGAUUGGAGCGGCCGAUAUCAGAUUAGGUAGUUGGUGAGGUAAAGGCUCACCAAGCCAACGAUCUGUAGCUGGUCUGAUAGGACGACCAGCCACACUGGAACUGAGACACGGUCCAGACUCCGUACGGGAGGCAGCAGUGAGGAAUAUUGGACAAUGGGGCGCAAGCCUGAUCCCAGCCCAUGCCGCGUGCAGGAUGACGGUCCUAUGGAUUGUAAACUGCUUUUAGUACAGG